rnacentral:lncRNA from 1 species
CUCCUUUCUGUUCUCUGUGCAAGUGGCCAGAACCACACAGCACCUCAGCUCAGGAGCCACUUUAUAGAGUGCAAGGCCUGCGUGCGAGGAGGAAGUAGUAAAGGGACCAGGACUAAGAGAGGCUGUUGAGAGGAGUGAAGCAUGGGAAACGAUCUCCAGAGGAGAAAUAGAUGCGGGGAUCACCAUAUUAUCAAAAGUUGUUUCUGCUUUCCAUGGAAAAGAAUACGUAAAGUCAGCCGAGACCAAAAGGAAAAAAAAGGAAAGACACUGUCUCCCAGCAAGGACAAUGGUACCCAGAGCUACACGGGUGAGGUGUGCUACAUCCUUGUCAACCACACAGCCCUCGGGAGGAAGCCAUCAGGGAACUCUUCUGAGGAGGAGGAGGUCACCGGAGAACUUUAUGAGAACAUCUCUUGUGAGGCUCGCAGGCCCAGAGAGUCUUUGGGAGGCACCGAGACGGAGUAUUCCCUUCUCCGUGUGUCUUCCCCUCCAAGUCAUCCACCUUGCCCAGAAGAUGAAUAUGAACUCCUCAUGCCUGGCAGAGUCUCCUCUUCUCUCCAGCAGCCAGGCCCACGCGUGACCCCCUUUGAGACUCAGUUUUCCCAUUUCCAGUGAAGUGAUUGGACUGUCUUUGUGUAGCACCAGCAUAAAAAGUAGAAUGUGGGGCUCUGGCUGAAGCAGACCUGGGUCACUGAACUCUUUAGCUUAUUCUCCAGGAUCUCAGUAGAGCAUAGCAUGCAAGCCACAGUGUGAUCAGAUCCUGCUCUAUAUCUGCCAUCCAAAAAUCAGCCAACUAAUUCUGAACGCCACUAUCCAAAAAAAGAGUGGCCAUCUGAUUCAAAGUGGCACUGCAAGGACUCUGUGGUAGGAAGGGCUCUCUGGUCCCCCAAAGCUGUGUGCACCACAAAAGAGUCUAAGCUUCUGACUAGCUUUCGUUCUUGUUGUUAUUGGGGGCGGGUUGUUUUGUUUUUGUUUUUUAGUACUGAGAAUUGAACCCAAUGCCUCUGUAAUAUAUUCCCAGCCCUUUUUUAAUCUUUUAUUUUGAGACAGGAUCUUGCUAAAUCACUAACGUACCUAGGCUGGACUCAAACCUGUAAAUCCUCUUGUCUUAACCUCCCAUCUGCUCUCUGAGGUUACAAAGCAUUUAUUCAUCACACUAAGCAUGCCCCGAGGGAGAAUUCAUACGUGACGGUGACUUUCCAGCUCAGCCUCCAUCCCAAUGGGAGCAUGAUAUUCCCUUUACUCCCUAUGCCUAAAGAAUGUCCUUUACGUGGUAUCUUUUGUCUUACUGGUCCCCGUGGCUUGGUUAAUUAUGUGCGUUGAGUCAGAAGGUUCCAAUUUGUUUUAUAUAUAAUUUUAAUACUUCUUUGUUUGCUUGUUAAUUUUGUAUUUCUGUCCAUAAUUUUUGGCAAUGCUGGAUAUCAAAGCUAGGGUCUCAUGCAUGUCAGGCAAGCAUUCAACCACUGACCCUCUGUUUUGGUUACUUUUCCCUCACUGCUGAGACAAAAUACCCAACACCCAAAAUUAAGGAAGGAAAGAUUUAUUUAGCCCACGGUUUGUGGAGGUUUCAGUCCAUAAUCAGCUGGCUCCAAGGUAGGGUGGGAUGGCACUGGGGAAACACUUGAAGGUGGCAGAAGACAGCAAAAAAAGCAUCAAGAGCCAAAAAAGAGAACAAGCAUCUUCUCCUUCCUUAUAUUGUAAGCAGGCUACCUCCUCCCCAGGGCAUGAGUAGCCCUCCUCUUGCACAGGAGGAGGGUAUUUAUAAAGUAAGGAUCCUAGCUCCCUGAUGAGUCUCUUAGUUAAAUUUCUAAACUUCUCAAGUUGACACAAUGUAUCAACUGUAACACCCUCUCUCUAUAUCUUAAUAUUUGUCAUAGCAUCAGAGGAUGUGAAAGUAGAAAGACCUUCAGUGGUUUUGGGUUCAGAGAGAAUAAUUUACCCAAUGAUACAUUAAAGUUAUAGCAGAAUCUUAUCUAGGUGCUGAUUUACUAACUUCUAAUUCAGGUUUUCUUGAAUAUACUAUAGAAUAUAGAAGAGCCUUUGAUAUAGCAUAAAUAACUAUGUUAAAUAAUAUGACAUGAACCACAUGAUUAAAAUGUCCACAAGGAAGAAAUAUUGCACCCAUCCAUCCUUUCUCUAAUAAGCAUUCCUCUCUAUAGGCCUGGAUUAUUUCUUUUCUACCACCCUUUAAUGUUUCCGCAAUUAGGUUUAUUUCCUCAACUAAAGGCCAGCAAACAAUAGACCACUGACCAAAUCAGGCCCACCACCUGUUUAUGUAAAUAAAAUUUGAUUGGAACACUGGAACACUCAUUUAUUUACAUGUUCUGUAUGGUUGUUCCACUGUGAUAGAGUUCUGUAGGCCCCAUAAAGCCAAAAAUAUUUAUGUUUUGGUCCUUUUACAGAAAACAAUUUUGCAGAUCUCUGCCCUAAACCAUCACACUUUGAGACAAACCUAACAGGAAUAUAUUUAGUUAUCAAUAUAACUCAUAGAAGCAGGUGCCAAUCAAACAGUAUGAAAAUAUUAAAACCACAAAUGGGGAGACACCAAGAACAGUUAGCAAAUUAGACUAUUUCUACAUUUGCACCUGUGUCACUGCUGCUGUGUAACUCAUAAUCACCACUAGCCUAAUUUUAGAGAUGUUAAAAUAGCAAAAGGCCUGUUGAGCCAACUGGUAAAAUAUUACUAUUUUUUGCUCAAAGCAAUGGCUAUUUAAAAUGUGCUAAGUGAUUAAUGAUGAUAAAUCCAUUAACUGGAGAUACAAUGAGUCAAAUCAGGUUUUCUGAGGUUUCUGAUAACUUCUAAAUUUAGUAAGUUUCUUUCACAUGGAAACCGAAGUUUUCUCUUUGGCCAAGAUUUACUCAGGCUCAGGGGAGGGUGUCUGUGGUGGCCGCAAACUGUGUACAAGUUGUAGCAUUGCUUAGAGGGAGUUGUGUGGAUCCAAAGUAGAAAAGCAGUGCUUUGAAUCCUGGGUCUCUCCCUGCAUCCUCUGUAACCUUGAGUCUGUAACUUGGAGGCUUCAUUUUUUUCUUUUACCAUAAAUCCUCUAAAAUGUGGAAGUCAUCUAUUGCAGACCCUAAGUAGAAAUAAUAUCAAAGAGUAAAGGGACCUUUCAUUCUGUGUGGAGAAAGAGGCAGAUGCAUCUGGUGACCCACCCAGCAAUCCCCAACAAGGCAGAAACAUCAAAUUGAUAAGUUCCAGGGCCAGGGAUAUGGCUCAGUGGCACAGUGCCUGCCUGGGGAGUGCAAGGUCAUGUUAUAUUCCUGGCACAAAAAAAAAAAAAAAAAAAAAAUGAUGUUUGUGCUGCAAUUUUCCACAUGACUACAAAACCAUUGUGGAAUAUGUUUGGUUGAAACAUUCUUAAGAUGGUCUGGGCAUGGUGGUGCAUGCCUGAGGCAGGAGGAUCACUUUGAGUUCGAGGCCAGCCUGGGCUACAAGACCUGUCUUUAAAAAAAAAACAAAAAAAGAAAAGAAAGGAAGGAAGGAGGAAAGAAAGAUUAUUAUGAAAAGUUGUAUUUGUUUAAUCCUUGUCUUGUGAAAGUAUUACCUGUCCCAAACACAUAUACGCCUUUUAUCAGGAAUGUAGUCAAUGUAAAUGCUUAGUAAAGAAAGCUGUUCUUGUAAUAAUGUUAUAUAAAAGGAAAAAAAAAAUUUUGAGCAGGCAAGCUAUUGGGAGUGCUUGAAAAAACCCACUGCAUUGUACAUAAUGUUAUUUGUCAAGUUAAAUGUUAAUUUUUAAAAAUAAAAAUUAGAAACAUUUUUAUGAGUUUAAUUACUUAACGUAUGGAAUAGAAUACGCAGAAU